rnacentral:piRNA from 1 species
UCAUUAAUGUGAGAGACUUAGAAAAAG